CGAAGAAGCUAUUAAAAUCACC
rnacentral:misc_RNA from 1 species